rnacentral:rRNA from 1 species
GAUGAACGCUAGCGGUAUGCUUAACACAUGCAAGUCGUACGGGAGUUUUUAACUCAAGUGGCGGACGGGGUGAGUAACACGUGAGAAUUUACCUUUAGGAGGGGGAUAACAAUUGGAAACGAUUGCUAAUACCCCAUAUGCUUUUUUAAGUGAAACGGAUUUAUUCGCCUAAAGAAAAGCUCGCGGCUAGAUUAGCUAGUUGGUAAGGUAAUGGCUUACCAAGGCGACGAUCAGUAUCUGGUUUGAGAGGAUGAUCAGACACACUGGAACUGAGACACGGUCCAGACUCCUACGGGAGGCAGCAGUGGGGAAUUUUCCGCAAUGGGCAAAGCCUGACGGAGCAA